AUUGAACGCUGGCGGCAGGCCUAACACAUGCAAGUCGAACGAGUGGCGGACGGGUGAGUAAUGUCUGGGAAACUGCCCGAUGGAGGGGGAUAACUACUGGAAACGGUAGCUAAUACCGCAUACCAUCGGAUGUGCCCAGAUGGGAUUAGCUAGUGGGGGGGGUAAUGGCUCACCUAGGCGACGAUCCCUAGCUGGUCUGAGAGGAUGACCAGCCACACUGGAACGGAGACACGGUCCGAACUCCUACGGGAGGCAGCAGUGGGGAAUAUUGCACAAUGGGGGAAAGCCGGAUGAAGCCAUGCCGCGUGUAUGAAGAAGGCCUUCGGGUUGUAAAGUACUUUCAGCGAGGAGGCGUUACUCGCAGAAGAAGCACCGGCUAACUCCGUGCCAGCAGCCGCGGUAAUAC
rnacentral:rRNA from 1 species